UUAUAGAACUCAUAUCCUUUGGUUAUAUGCCAACGCAUGGGAUUGGUCUGCACAUUUUUAAUUUGGUGGGUAUUGUCGGUUUGCCAUCCACAGAGGCUGGUGCAGCGUGAGGGACGGCCUGUUCCUUCUUCUGCGUGGAAGCACUCAGCUUAGCACAGCUCCUAGUGUAGACUGACACAUUAAAACCACGUGCCCCUGCUCCAGAGGUCAUAAGAAAAUGCUUCGGGAGCCCUGAAGCCCCACUUGGAGCAAGCGAUUAUGAUUUUGCCAUCCUGCCUCACCAGAAGGAUCAGGCGAGAGUGAGGAGGAGCAGGGAAAACCACCUCCAUCCCCAGAGAAGCCUCGAUAAUUAGUAAUAAUAACCCCUUCCGUCACGUCGCUCUGGCCUUUCUAAAGCACUCUGACGUGCACCAGUGGUUCUCAGCCCAGCUUGCAUUAGGGUUCUCUGGGGAACUUUCCAGAAAUACCAAUGUCAGGGCCCCACCCCCAUGAUUCUUAUUUAAUUAUUCUUGGGUGGAGCCUAAGCAUCAGUAUUUUAUAAGCUCGCCAGACAAUUCUAGUGUGAGGCCAAGGCUGGGAGCCAGUGAUAACCCGGAACAUCAUCCCCUGACGUGGGAGAAACUGGAGCCUCUGACGCCCAUCCUUUCUGCUUCUGCGGCCCCAAUACCCAAGGAUCAGUGUGGUUACGUGUCACUCCAGCCUGGAGUCAUGAAAAGACAGUGGGCUGUGAGGCCCCACAGAUCCCAGCAGACCACUGGCCUCUCCACUUCCUGGCUUUGUGAUGCCGAACACGCUGCUUGGCAACAAUCAUGCAGUGGAAAUUUCUCCCAGGUCGAAGAAGGAGCCUCAGCCAGGAAAUUAGGGUGUCUGCUAGCUCCUGCCGUGUGUCUCUGGACAAGCUGAGUCACCUCUCUGGUCUGUGGUUUCCCUCCACAGUCAAAUGAGGGGUUUGAGUUAUCUCAGUGUUUUUCCAAACACUAGUCUGUAAAACAGAGCAUGCCACAAGAUGUAAAUAUUUAUUAUUCAGAAAAAAAAAUUUCUUUUGAAAGGUUACAUGGCCUAAUAAGUUUGGGCAAUGCUGGAUUCAAGUUAAGUGUCGUUUGUUUGCCAACAUGUGCUAUGUGUCAUCACUAUUACAACACAGUGCCCUGUGGCCCUCGAAGAGGAGGCUAGCUUUUCAUGGCACAUUUGUCAAUGUCUUUUGGAGCACAGGGCUUCCCAGGAGCUUGGAAUGGGAAACCGAGGAGGGUGGGUCCCAAGUCUCUUCUGCCCUUACUCUCUGGGACUUCUGGGACUCUAAGACUCAAGGAAUAAAGGAGACAGCUCUUGAGACAUCCUCUUAGCCAUAAGACUUAGACCACUCGCUUCCCCAAAAUGUCCCCAUGCUCAUGUUUAGGGGCUCCCUCAGACCGGACCCAGUGUCCAUCUUGGGGUCUGAUUUUGCCACUCGGCCAGGAAGCUUGCGCCGACCACACCAAAGCUCACCACGCCCUGCCUCGCUGCCCCGGCCAGCCCUUGCUCCCUUCAGCCCAACAGGCUCCUCCCAGGUGAGCCCAUUUCUUUAUCCUUCCCAGUGCAUCAUUCCCAGGCUUACCGCCACAAAGCCUUGCUCAGAGGCAGCAGUCUCAGUGCCCUGGAAGGAGCCCAGUCUUGGAAUCAGAGCCAGAUUCAAAUUCUGUCUUUGCGACUUCCUUGUUAUGUGGUUCUCAGCCAGCGGCUGAACUUUCCUAAUACAGACUGAGCAAUGGUCGUGGUCCUCACUGACUAGACUUAGGGUAAAGAUGAAAAGGGCCUGACAUUUUGCUUGGCUUAAGUUCCCUGGAAAACAAAGCCUGAGGCAAAGGCUGGUGUGCUCCUGCCUUUUUAAGGAGUGCAACUCCUGGGAC